rnacentral:rRNA from 1 species
AACGUAGGAGACAAACGUUAUCCGGAGUUACUGGGCGUAAAGGGCGUGUAGGUGGUUUCGUAAGUCUGGCGUGAAAUAUCUCGGCUUAACCGAGGCAGGUCGUCGGAUACUGCGGAACUGGAGGACGGUAGAGGCGUGUGGAAUUCCGGGUGUAGUGGUGAAAUGCGUAGAUAUCGGGAGGAACACCUGUGGCGAAAGCGGCGCACUGGACCACAACUGACGCUGAGGCGCGAAAGCUAGGGGAGCAAACAGG